GGGGAGGACCUUGGUUAAAUCCAAAAUGGCCCCCAUUUGGAAAUAUAGUGCACUACAAGCCAUUAUUGCAUGUCAUAUGUAGUGCACCUACAUGGGGAAUAGGGACGCAUUCAGGGAUUCGAAUGUGUUGUAGUCCAAAUCGGGAUGGACUACAAAUCCCAGCAUGAUGUCAGAGAUGGCAGCAGAACGACAAACCGCCAAUGGCCAUGGAGGCAUGGUCCAGCACUGGUUUAUGGAAGGAGGGUGGAGUCUAGGAGGAGGACAGGGGGAGCCCAAGUAGAGAGAGCCUGUGGUGCACAGUGAGGGUGUCACAGUGGUGCCAAAAGCAAGGGAGAAUCUGUGACUGAGAUGCCAUCAUAAAGACCUCACCCCUAGCUGAGAAGUCCCUCACCAACUUAAAGGUUGCCAGCAGGCCAUCCUCAGCCGGUGCUCAGAGUAAGCCCAAUGCAAAGAGGCCCUCUUGGUGGUGCAGUCUAAAGACAGACAGGUGCUCUGAAGACAGCUACAGCCAGCUGAUACUCCAGCUGCCCCCACCACACCUACAGCAUCCAUCACACUCACAAAGAUGACACCUAAGGAUGAACAGGAAGCAUGCAUCGAGUUCUUUGGGCAUGCUGCAGUAACAUGAGUGCGGCCUGAAGUGGGCCGUUGAACUACUUUCCCUGUUACCGGAAAAGCCCAGCUGGCUGUGCAUCAGCUUCCAGUGGAAAAUCCGCUGGGGUACCGAGACCUGAAAAUGGUGAUCAUCCAGAGGGUUGGUCGAACACCAGAACAAUAGCACCAGAGGUGCAAGGGCAGCAGGCCCUAGGUGUUUGCCCAGCAGCUUUGGGACAUCUGUCUCAGGUGGCAGCUGACUGAGGAGCAGGGCAUCAAUGGCAUUGUGGACCAAGUGGUGCUGGAGCAAUUCAUUGCGCGAUUAACAACGGGAACAAUCGAGUGGGUCCAGUGCCACUGCCCCGUAGUGGCAUAUCUGGGGGCAUAUCUGGGGGCAGGUUGCCCCUUCUCUUUUCACUGGCCCCAGGCUCUGAACUGGCCUGCUUCUUACUUGGUCUCUCCUUCCCCAUUUAUAGGAACAAUGUCCAGAGUGGGAACGUUGAUCCAGCUCCUCAAUGUACCACAGGCUUCCCCUGAUUGAGCAGGGUCAUAGCAAUUACCUGUUAGCAUACAACUGUGUACAUAUCACAAUGUGUACAUAUCACAAUAUUCAAUGUGAGGCAUUGUAUAGAGCACAAAGGAAAAAGGUAAAGUGUGUACACAGGGAUGUUCACAAGCAUCCACUAUUGCCCGUCACUAUAGGUUUCUGGGGCAGCAUUGAUUAGCCUGUGCCUCACCCAUUCAUUAAUUUUGGGGCCAAAUUGUCCAGUAUUCCAGGCACUGAUAAGGGGAAUGCUUGUGGCUUAGGGAGGCGGAGCCAGGGCCAUCAGUUACUGCUCCAAGAUGGAAAUAACUGAGAAGUUGUCAAGACCCCGCUUUCCUGGGGAUUCCCCUUGGGACAAGACCCUGAGACAUGCUUUCGACCAAGUGAGAUUAAUUGCUGGUCAAAUAGUACAGUCAGGGGUCAAACUAUACUAUACGUAAUUCCCUAUUACUAAAGGAUAGGUGUUUUUGUAUCGCAGGACUCUCAAACAAAGGAAAAAAGCACCAGUUGCUGGUGCUUAUCAUGAACCUUUGGCUGGGCUUUUAGGCCAGGAUAACACACUGUCUCAUUGCCCAUUUGUAUUGGCUGGGCAUUCAUGGGAAUGUAUGCAGGUGGUGUGAAGCACGCUGCAAAAUGUGAGCUGGUGAAUUCUUUGGCCACCCCAAAGGCACCAUUGCACCCCCUUCCAUUGAUUGAGGACCCCUUUAAAAGAACUGGUAUAGACCUUGUCAGGCUGUUAGAAUGGAGUGCCUAAGAGCAUUGCUUUGUGUUAGUUCUAGUGGAUAACGCAAUGCAAUACCAGAAGCUGUACCUCUGCUCCAUCUCAGCAUGCAGUGUUGAGGAAGUGCUCUUCAGAGUAAUCUCCCAAGUUGGAGUCUCAAAUGACAUUCUGACUGAGUAGGGCACUAUGUUUACCUCAUGUACACUUUUUGAACUGUUGGGAAUAUUGGGGAUUCCAUUGAUUUGUACCAGCAACUGCAAACAGAUGGACUGUUUGUGAAGGUAAAUGCUGGUUCCCAAGUUUGACAGGUCGGUCUCUUUUUAUGUAGAUUUUAGAAAGGUAAAUGCAGUGUAUAAAUUCAAUGCAUAUCCAAUACUAUGCAUUGAAUUUAUACACUGCUCAAUUGGUUAGUUGCAGAUUGCUUUUAUUCAACACUGAAUUUAACUAAGGGAUAUUGGCAGAUAUCCUUGAUUCCAAUGUCCUGAGAGAAAAUUACCACUCCAUUCGACUUAGACUAAUUUGUUUGGAGCCCUGGCCACGUUUCAACAACUCAUGGACAGAAUUUUCCACCCACACACUGCCUAUUGGAUGGGUGGAAGUAUGAUAUUUGGGCUUCCACUUGGGUCAUGGGCACGUGAGUCCACAAAUUGAUAAGAUGGCAAACAAUUUCGGCCUGCCUGAAACCCAAGACCAAAAAAAGAGGGAGGCAGUUUUUGGGGCUGGCUGAAGCUGCACUGAUCCAAACUGUUACGGAUGAUGUUAGGAUUGACUCGAUGAUGGCUGUAUAAAAUAUCCCUCUUUUUUUUGCACAACAAAGAGAAUGACAUGAAAAAGUAUCUUAAUUGGAAACAUUGCUUGUCAAGAGUACAGAAUUUAUAAUGGAUAAAAUGAUUAACUAAUUUACUAAAACAUUAUUUCCUUAAUUGAACAAUGCAAAAUAGCAAAUUAAAAAUAUGAUAAAAUAAUUUGUUCUUGUUCACAGAUUAUGGUUUCAUGACCUCGAUUUAGUAUUUGAUGGCCAUGUUAAAUAGUGUGCACAGCGCACAAUAGAAAAGUAAAAAUAAAUUAAAUUACAGUAGAUGCAGUGUUUUUUUUAACCCAAGCUUCACAUUUUCAGUCACUGUAUAUAUUGGCAGUUUACUACACUCAUAUUAUUAUAAUGCCUGCCAUCUUCUUAUUUAUAAUAACAUACUGUAUAUUAGUCCUUCUUUUUAGUUGUUUAUUUUUAAAUUUCUUUCUGCUUUUUUUAGUCCGCAUUUUCUAUCUCUUGAUUUUUUUUUUUCAGGCUUAAAGGCAAGUGCCUGUCUUUAAAGGCAGCAGUCUUAAAAAGCAUAAAUUCUUUCAGAAGUUUCAUAGAUUCUCCAGCAUUGCUUUAUAAAUAAUUUAAGCUAUGCUUAUGAAUGUGUAAUAAAGGCUCCUAAAUGUACCUUUCAAAUAGUGUAACCGAAUAAAUAAUGAAGUUAUGUCAUGUUAUUCAUGUUAUAUUUUUAAAGUUAAAAAAAUUGCUUGUUUACACUUCCCUUUUGCAUCAGAAGCUUAUGUUAACUUUGUCUUCAUCCACGGGUCAUCUAAUAAACUUCAUUUGAACUCUAAUGGAAUGGUCUUUAAGAUGGCACUGAGGAUUCAUCCGCUGGGAAAUGGCAAGGGGAAUUUGAAAAGGGAGUGUUAAAAACAUUAGACUCAGUAUGUCCUUUUGAUGAAAUAAUUUUUUUGCUGCACUUCAGAAUAAUCAGCAUUCUUCAAAUGUAUCUGCAUGGUCAAGUGCCAGAGUUGGAUUUGUAGUCUACUGCUUACCAAUCUGCACAAAAAGGUUUCAGAGACUCAGAUUCCCUUGAUCUCUUAUUUUCAUUCAAACUUGUGUACACACAACUACCAUCAGGAAAUAUGUAGAGCGUGGGAUGGCUGAUGGCUCUCCUUUUUCAUCAGUAUUGUUUAUAUUGAUCCUCUCUGAGAUGAAGAAAGAAUA